UCGUGGGGUGAUCUGUCUGCUUAAUUGCGUUUCGCAAUUGGUCAAUUUUUGACACGCCAUUGCUUGUGCACCAAUGUUGCACUCGCUCUUGGGCGCUGCCUCUUUCUUCGGAUUGAGAAAGCGUUUAAGGGUUUGACAGUGCCGUUGGGUUUUUGUCACUUGUAUGGCGAAUUGGCCUGGAAAGCAACGAACGUGACCGCAGCCUCUUGUUGCCUCAAAUAUUUGUUUU
rnacentral:rRNA from 1 species